rnacentral:tRNA from 1 species
GCGCCCAUAGCUCAGUCUGGUUAGAGCACGGUUCUUAUACAGCCGCCGUCCCUGGUUCAAAUCCAGGUGGGCGCA